rnacentral:rRNA from 1 species
GACGAACGCUGGCGGCGUGCUUAACACAUGCAAGUCGUACGGUAAGGCCCUUUCGGGGGUACACGAGUGGCGAACGGGUGAGUAACACGUGAGUAACCUGCCCACAACUUUGGGAUAACGCUAGGAAACUGGUGCUAAUACUGGAUAUGUGCUCCUGCUGCAUGGUGGGGGUUGGAAAGCUCCGGCGGUUGUGGAUGGACUCGCGGCCUAUCAGCUUGUUGGUGGGGUAGUGGCCUACCAAGGCGGCGACGGGUAGCCGGCCUGAGAGGGUGACCGGCCACAUUGGGACUGAGAGACGGCCCAGACUCCUGCGGGAGGCAGCAGGGGGGAAUAUUGCACAAUGGGCGCAAGCCUGAUGCAGCCACGCCGCGGGCGGGAUGACGGCCUUCGGGUUGUAGACCGCUUUCAGCAGGGACGAAGCUUUUUGUGACGGUACCUGCAGAAGAAGCACCGGCUAACUA